rnacentral:rRNA from 1 species
ACGAACGCUGGCGGCGUGCUUAACACCUGCAAGUCGAACGGAAAGGCCCUGCUUUUGUGGGGUGCUCGAGUGGCGAACGGGUGAGUAACACGUGAGUCACCUGCCCUUGACUUUGGGAUAACUUCAGGAAACUGGGGCUAAUACCGGCUCAUACCUCCUGCUUCAUGGUGGGGGUUGGAAAGUUUCGGCGGUUGGGGAUGGACUCCCGGCUUUUCAGCUUGUUGGUGGGGUAGUGGCUUACCAAGGCUUUGACGGGUAGCCGGCCUGAGAGGGUGACCGGCCUCGUUGGGAAUAUGAUACGGCCGAGACUCCUACGGGAGGAAGCAGUGGGGAGUAUUGAACAAUGGGCGGAAGCCUGAUGCAGCAGCGCGGCGUGCGGGAUGACGGAAAUCGGGUUGUAAACCGCUUUCGCCUAUGAGGAAGCGUGAGUGACGGUAAUGGGUAAAGAAGCACCGGCUAACUACGUG